rnacentral:rRNA from 1 species
UACGGGGGGGGCAAGCGUUGUUCGGAAUUACUGGGCGUAAAGGGCGCGUAGGCGGCGUGACAAGUCACUUGUGAAAUCUCCGGGCUUAACUCGGAACGGUCAAGUGAUACUGUCGUGCUAGAGUACAGAAGGGGCAACUGGAAUUCUCGGUGUAGCGGUGAAAUGCGUAGAUAUCGAGAGGAACACCUGCGGCGAAGGCGGGUUGCUGGGCUGAUACUGACGCUGAGGCGCGAAAGCUAGGGGAGCGAACGGG